UGGGGAAUCUUGGACAAUGGGCGCAAGCCUGAUCCAGCCAUGCCGCGUGAGUGAAGAAGGCCUUCGGGUUGUAAAGCUCUUUUACCAGGGACGAUAAUGACGGUACCUGGAGAAUAAGCCCCGGCAAACUUCGUGCCAGCAGCCGCGGUAAUACGAAGGGGGCUAGCGUUGUUCGGAAUUACUGGGCGUAAAGCGCACGCAGGCGGAUUGUUAAGUCAGAGGUGAAAUCCCGGAGCUCAACUUCGGAACUGCCUUUGAUACUGGCAAUCUCGAGUCCGGAAGAGGUUAGUGGAAUUCCCAGUGUAGAGGUGAAAUUCGUAGAUAUUGGGAAGAACACCAGUGGCGAAGGCGGCUAACUGGUCCGGUACUGACGCUGAGGUGCGAAAGCGUGGGGAGCAAACAGGAUUAGAUACCCCCGUAGUCCCUGAGCGGGCUGGCAAGGCGCAU
rnacentral:rRNA from 1 species